rnacentral:rRNA from 1 species
GAUGAACGCUGGCGGCGUGCCUAAUACAUGCAAGUCGAGCGGAGAAUUUAGCAAUAGGUUCUUAGCGGCGAACGGGUGAGUAACGCGUUGGUGACCUGCCUCGAAGAUCGGGAUACCAGUUCGAAAGGACUGCUAAUACCGGAUGUAAUCUACUGGAUUAGAAGCCGAUAGAUCAAAGGAGAAAUUCACUUCGAGAGGGGCCUGCGUCCCAUCAGCUAGUUGGUAAGGUAACGGCUUACCAAGGCGAUGACGGGUAGGGGACCUGAGAGGGUGGCCCCCCACAAUGGAACUGAAACACGGUCCAUACACCUACGGGUGGCAG